GAUGAACGCUGGCGGCGUGCUUAACACAUGCAAGUCGAACGAGAAAUGGAGACGGAAACCUUCGGGCGGAAGGCUUCAUUUCGAGUGGCGGCCGGGUGAGUAACGCGUGGGUAACCUGCCUCAUACAGGGGGAUAACAGUUGGAAACGACUGUUAAUACCGCAUAAGACCACAGCACCGCAUGGUGCGGGGGUAAAAACUCCGGUGGUAUGAGAUGGACCCGCGUUCGAUUAGCCAGUUGGCGGGGUAACGGCCCACCAAAGCGACGAUCGAUAGCCGAUCUGAGAGGAUGACCGGCCACAUUGGGACUGAGACACGGCCCAAACUCCGACGGGAGGCAGCAGUGGGGAAUAUUGCGCAAGGGGGGAAACCCUGAUGCAGCGGCGCCGCGUGAGUGAAGAAGUACUUCGGUAUGUAAAGCUCUAUCAGCAGGGAAGAGAAUGACGGUACCUGAUGAAGAAGCCCCGGCUAACUACGUG
rnacentral:rRNA from 1 species